GUCCCUUCGGGGACAUCCGAUAAAAUUGGAAUGAUACAGAGAAGAUUAGCAUGGCCCCUACGUAAGGAUGACACUAGGGCUGGAAAUGAGUCAAGCCGCUCGU